CCCCCCAAAUGUUGCUGUUUCAAAAUUUAAGAAAAACCUUUAUUUUAUAUUUUUUUAAAACAUUAAAGAAGCUUUUAGGAAACCCUAAAAGUUUUAUAUUAUUUUCUCCAUUCCCUCACUCUCCUUGUUUCCGAGCCGAAAGGCUAGUGUCCAGGCCUUCAACCACCCGCUUGUAAUCUGUGAAGCAAGGUCCUCCAGCGGUGCGAGCACAACGCGCGGUAAGCCUCUUUUCCUUUCUCCGAUCCUUCGUAUGUGCUGUGGACCCAAAUGGAAAAAAGAAAAAAAAGGAAAAAUAGAACAAAAUUGCAGCAAAUAAUCACCUUAGAAAUAUUCUUGGUCGCUUUUCUACUGAUUUUCGUGUGUAUUUUGUAUUAUAUUUCGUAUUCUAUUUCUCUGAAAAAAAAAAUCCCCUUUUUACAUUGUUUUCGAAGGCUUUUAUAGCCCUUUUUUACAACUUGUUUUUUUGCUUGUUUGCAAGUGCGUGAUCGAGCACGUUUCUGACGUGGCGUGGUGGUGUCACGCACGUCGCGGGGAGGUGGUGUCCGGCGCGCGAUGCAUUUGCUGAAACGGCACAAAAAGGGUUUGGGGGCUAGGGUUUCAAAUUUGCCAAAAUUGUUUUAAGAUUAUGGGCCAAUUGGGCCGUAGGUUUUAGUUUGGGUCUGGGUCUUUUUUUGUUGGGUUUUGGGCUGCUUGGGUAGUGUUUUUUUAUUUUUUGCUUGUGUUUGGUUUUGGUUUUUUAAUAGUUUGGGCCGGGCAAGGUUGGGCCAUGACACAUACUAAAGUAAGGAAUGUCACAUUAAAAUUUCCAAUUUCAAUCUCUAAGUCUUGCUCAGUGCCACUACCAGAGAACUUAAACAUAAACUUUAAGUUAAUUGAUGUACAUGACAUUUUCUAAAUCCAAAAUCAUAUAUCAAAAGAGUCUUGAAAUUUUGAGAGUUGAUGUUAUCCUCGUGAAGAAGUACUCUUUAUAUCUUCUAUCUACUUUUUUUCACCUAUGCAUUAAGUUACGUGAAUAGUUUAGUAAGUACCUAAUUGAAUUUAAAAACUUACCAUCCAUUUAUUCAAACAUAAUUAUAAUAUUAAAAUUAAAUCAAAUUUACAAGUUAUUUAUACUAUCUAUAAAUUAAUUAACUCAUGCAUUUUCACUAAAUAAUAUACAAAUUAUCAAAAUAAAUUCAUUAUUCAUUUCUAUCAUUUAAUCAUAUAGUUACCUUCAUGUUCACAUAUAUUACAUGAAUAAUUAACUGAUUGUGAUCAUAAUCAGAAUUUCGAUAACAGAACUCCUAGAGUCCUAGUCCAAAACAGAACUCCUAACCUUUAAUAGAACUAUGAUAACAAACCUCAAAAUUCCAACCAACAAACCAUAUUCCAAAGAACAUAAGCAUAAAUAGAACAUGAACAAAACUCCUUCAACCCACCAUUAUCCCUGUUUCACCAACCCUAUUCUCGAUUUCAAACCAAAUUAACCAAUAAUCGAAAUUUUAAAAAAUCAUUAACUGACAUCCGAUUGAAUUAAGUUCAGCCUUUGACCGAUUAACCAAAUUAGAUCAGUUCAGUCGAUUAAUUCAAUUUAACCAAAAUUUGAACACCUCUAGUGCUUGUGUCUGGCAUCAUUCUCUCAAUGAAAUCAUAUCCCACGAUACGGUGUAAGUAAACUUUUCCAUUUGCAUAAUUAUCAUCAACCUUAUAACAUUUGGAUUCACAGUCUAAAUUGUUUAUAGAUUUAAUUACAAAAACUUAUAUAAACUCAAUUUAAAGAAAGACUUACACUAGAUUAUAUCCCUUUUUUAUAAUACAUAAAUUAAAUAAAAAUAAUGUUAAAUUUAUAAUAUAUAACUUUUAUAAGGAAGGAUUUAUAAAUUACCCAAA
rnacentral:lncRNA from 1 species